rnacentral:rRNA from 1 species
GCCGCGGUAAUUCCAGCUCCAAUAGCGUAUAUUAAAGUUGUUGCAGUUAAAAAGCUCGUAGUUGGAUCUCGGGUCCGGGCUCGCGGUCCACCUCGCGGUGGUUACUGCCCGUCCCGACCUACCUACCGGUUUUCCCUUGGUGCUCUUAACUGAGUGUCUCGGGUGGCCGGAACGUUUACUUUGAAAAAAUUAGAGUGUUCAAAGCAGGCGCUUCGCCUGAAUAAUGUUGCAUGGAAUAAUGGAAUAGGACCUCGGUUCUAUUUUGUUGGUUUUCGGAACUCGAGGUAAUGAUUAAGAGGGACAGACGGGGGCAUUCGUAUGAUGGUGUUAGAGGUGAAAUUCUUGGAUCGCCGUCAGACGAACUACUGCGAAAGCAUUUGCCAAGAAUGUUUUCAUUAAUCAAGAACGAAAGUCAGAGGUUCGAAGACGAUCAGAUACCGUCCUAGUUCUGACCAUAAACGAUGCCGACUAGCGAUCCGCCGGAGUUGUUUCAAUGACCCGGCGGGCAGCUUCCGGGAAACCAAAGUCUUUGGGUUCCGGGGGAAGUAUGGUUGCAAAGCUGAAACUUAAAGGAAUUGACGGAAGGGCACCACCAGGAGUGGAGCCUGCGGCUUAAUUUGACUCAACACGGGAAAGCUUACCCGGCCCGGACACCGUAAGGAUUGACAGAUUGAGAGCCCUUUCUUGAUUCGGUGGGUGGUGGUGCAUGGCCGUUCUUAGUUGGUGGAGCGAUUUGUCUGGUUAAUUCCGAUAACGAACGAGACUCUAGCCUAUUAAAUAGUUCGCCGAUUUCGAUCUGUCGGCGUUAACUUCUUAGAGGGACAAGUGGCUUUUAGCCACGCGAGAUUGAGCAAUAACAGGUCUGUGAUGCCCAAGG